rnacentral:rRNA from 1 species
UACGUAGGGUGCGAGCGUUAAUCGGAAUUACUGGGCGUAAAGCGUGCGCAGGCGGUUCGUUAAGUCAGAUGUGAAAGCCCCGGGCUCAACCUGGGAACUGCAUUUGAAACUGGCGGGCUUGAGUAUGGCAGAGGGGGGUGGAAUUCCGCGUGUAGCAAUGAAAUGCGUAGAGAUGCGGAGGAACACCGAUGGCGAAGGCAGCCCCCUGGGCCAAUACUGACGCUCAGGCACGAAAGCGUGGGGAGCAAACAGG